UAGAAUCAGAAUCAGAAAGUAUUAACUAUUUUAAAAGAUUUAAACUUAAGUUAAAAACUUAAUUCAAGUAUUAUUAGUUUUAUUUUGAUAUUAUUUAUUAUAGGAACCACUACUGUUCUUAUGCAAGAGAAAAUAUAAUCUAACCAAAAAUAACCAAAUACCUACUCCUAUAACGCAAAAAAAAAAAGAAAACAACUUUUAUGCAUACUCUGCAUACUAUAGUUCAAGGAUCAGCAAUGGCAAGAUUUUCCAGAGGAAAGAGAGUAUUUGAAUAUAGUGCGAAACCAAGGGAGCGUGUGUAUUUUUUCACAUUAAAGAAAAAAGAUUGUUUAACCAGACACAUCUGCAUUUGUUUCCCUUAUAAGAAAAGCUACUAAAAAAGAUUCCUUAUCGAAUGGAAAGUCUCCCAUUACUGAGGAAGAUAUGUGAAAUAUUUGAUAUUUAUUUUGAAUUUCAGAAGAAAGUUUUAAAUGCACUGGUAGAAAUGGAAGAGAUGUUAGUAAAGCUCUUUCCAGUAAUUAAAAUAGUAUCACGACAAAUAGUCCUGAUAUUUUAUGGAUGAAUUCGCAGCUGUCAUUUAGUGAUUAUGAUGACAGUUUUAAUGAUUUUUGGAUGAGGUCUGAAGUUAGGUUAUUUCAAAUCAUGGUUUUUUGCAACUUUUUUAUUACUU